rnacentral:rRNA from 1 species
AGCGAACGCUGGCGGCAGGCCUAACACAUGCAAGUCGAACGGAUCCUUCGGGAUUAGUGGCGGACGGGUGAGUAACACGUGGGAACGUGCCCUUUGGUUCGGAACAACUCAGGGAAACUUGAGCUAAUACCGGAUGUGCCCUUCGGGGGAAAGAUUUAUCGCCCUUGGAGCGGCCCGCGUCUGAUUAGCUAGUUGGUGAGGUAACGGCCCACCAAGGCGACGAUCAGUAGCUGGUCUGAGAGGAUGAUCAGCCACACUGGGACUGAGACACGGCCCAGACUCCUACGGGAGGCAGCAGUGGGGAAUCUUGCGCAAUGGGCGAAAGCCUGACGCAGCCAUGCCGCGUGAAUGAUGAAGGUCUUAGGAUUGUAAAAUUCUUUCAGCGGGGACGAUAAUGACGGUACCCGCAGAAGAAGCGCCGGCUAACUUCGUG